GCAUGUGGGCCUAUCAUCACAGGUUAUCGCGAAUCGCUGAGCUGCGCGCUAAGCUGUACGAGGGGCGGCCGCCCCCCGCCGCAGCGGCGGCCGCCGGCGACGUGGAGGCGGGAGGGGGAGGGGAGGACGAGCCCAUGACCGCGCAGGCGCAGAGACAACAAAUGGCGGCCAUGAUGAGUCGCCAGGAGACGAUCCACAGCGUUGACUCCUUCGCCUCACACGACGAUGACUUCGCUGAGUAUGGCGAUGAGUCCAUGGAAUUUUUGGAUGGCGACUCAGCGUCUCUGACGAACAUAAAUCUCUGGUGCAGGGACAGAGCCAGCGGCCGAUGGGUGCCUCUGUAAUCUCUUACUGCCUGCCUUAUCAGUGCAAAAUUCUGCCUUAUCAUUGGAAAUCGAACGGUCUUUAUAAUUGCAUCGAACGAUCUUUAUCGUUGCGAAAUUUCUUUAUCAGUGCCGAACUUCCUUAUCAGUGCAAAACUUUCUUAUCUGCGUGGAAAUCUAAAUUGCCAUCAAUGCUGAAAUUUGAAUUGUAACGGUGAAUAUUAUUAACUUCAUCAUCUCCUCGGAAAUCGUACUUUAUUUUCACUACAGAAAUCGAACUUUCUUAUCAGGACUGAAAUCGAACUUCUUUAUAACUUAGGAAACCGAAAUUU